rnacentral:rRNA from 1 species
GACGAACGCUGGCGGCGUGCUUAACACAUGCAAGUCGAGCGGAAAGGCCCUUCGGGGUACUCGAGCGGCGAACGGGUGAGUAACACGUGAGUAACCUGCCCUAGGCUUUGGGAUAACCCUCGGAAACGGGGGCUAAUACUGGAUAUUCCCGCGGGAUCGCAUGGUUUUGUGGGGAAAGGUUUCCGGCUUGGGAUGGGCUCGCGGCCUAUCAGCUUGUUGGUGGGGUGAUGGCCUACCAAGGCGACGACGGGAGCCGGCCUGAGAGGGCGACCGGCCACACUGGGACUGAGACACGGCCCAGACUCCUACGGGAGGCAGCAGUGGGGAAUAUUGCACAAUGGGCGGAAGCCUGAUGCAGCGACGCCGCGUGAGGGAUGACGGCC